rnacentral:misc_RNA from 1 species
UUUCCGUAGGUGAACCUGCGGAAGGAUCAUUAACACUAAUCCAUUUCACCUUAACAUAACCUUCAGUGCAGUAACAGCGCUCGCUAGCGUAAGCAGGCUUGUACUGUUACCGCUCUAUAAAACUAAUCAUCGAAAGGAGCCUAACUAAGCUCAACCACUAAAUCCAAAUUCUCAACGAUGGAUAUCUUGGUUCCC